GGCCCCGUGGCGAAACGGCAGACGCAGCGGACUUAAAAUCCGCAGACCUUCACCGGUCGUGUGGGUUCAACUCCCACCGGGGCCA
rnacentral:tRNA from 1 species